UCUUCUGCUUGAGGAGACCAUGGAGGUGGCAUGGUCCUCUGGGGAAAUCUCAUUCUCAGUUAAGGCAGGAGGCGGCAGGAGGGAUCUUGGAAGAGUCUGAGAACAGCAGGGCAGAGUUCCCAGGAACCAGUGCACACAACUGCCAUGCGUUAUUUGGUUUGCACAUGAAAUUCUACCAUACAUUGCUCAACUCCACUCAUUCCAGUGGGAUGGCCAGAGGAAGGUGGGAAGCUGAUGUUGUCAAGAGUAUUUUAUCAUAUCAACCUUGGAGAAACUAAGGCAGCACCCAAGUCCACACAGGUGAUAAACAGCCGAGCCAGAAGUGGCAUGAAGGAAAGAACAGAAGUUUCACUACGAAGUCUGGUUUUCCGCUAUACACCUUAGAAGUUCAUCAUUGCUGCGUGCUCUGAGGACCAAGCACCCAUUGCACCAUGGCACCCUGGGCUCUACUGCUAAUUUUGGUCCCCAUGCAAAACAGCAGAUUUCCUCAGUUUGGAUACCGGAUGGGAAAACAUUCCAACAGGUGGCCUCUCUUAUAAACUUCACCGUCUGUUGCCCCCGUCCCACUAGACGGUGAGCAAGAUGAGGACAGAGGCUGUGCCUGCCAUUCUCACUCUGUGUACCUAAGGCAUCUGACCAACACCUGACCCUCAGAAGCUAUGCGGUGAACACCGGCUGUGGACAAGUCAAUGACCUGUGUGUGACUGAACCAAAGGGGAUGGACACCAGCCACCGUGAAGCCAUGAAAGUAGGGCAGCUCAGAACGACAUGCUGAGUGUAGUGGUGGCCUUGACUCC